rnacentral:tRNA from 1 species
ACUUUAAAGGAUAGAA